GCCGGUGGGAUUCCGGCGCUGUCCCGCAACUGUGAGCCCCGCCGUGCCCGGGGUGAAGCCAGG
rnacentral:ncRNA from 2 species